AUUGAACGCUGGCGGCAUGCCUUACACAUGCAGGUCGAACGGCAGCACGGGAGCAAUCCUGGUGGCGAGUGGCGAACGGGUGAGUAAUAUAUCGGAACGUGCCCAGUAGUGGGGGAUAACCCGGCGAAAGCCGGACUAAUACCGCAUACGACCCACGGGUGAAAGCAGGGGAUCGCAAGACCUUGCGCUAUCGGAGCGGCCGAUAUCAGAUUAGCUUGUUGGUGGGGUAAAAGCCUACCAAGGCGACGAUCUGUAGCUGGUCUGAGAGGACGACCAGCCACACUGGGACUGAGACACGGCCCAGACUCCUACGGGAGGCAGCAGUGGGGAAUUUUGGACAAUGGGCGCAAGCCUGAUCCAGCCAUGCCGCGUGCGGGAAGAAGGCCUUCGGGUUGUAAACCGCUUUUGUCAGGGAAGAAACGGCUCGGGCUAAUACCUCGGGCUAAUGACGGUACCUGAAGAAUAAGCACCGGCUAACUACGUG
rnacentral:rRNA from 1 species